rnacentral:lncRNA from 1 species
GUAUAAUUAGUGAAAUCCUAGGGAAAAAAAAAAGGUAUCUCCCUUUCAGGCAUAUAUGUGGUGGAAAUAUGCACAGGGCUGAGGAUGGCUUAUCAAAAACAACCCACUUUAUACAAGGAAAAUAAGUGGCACUGUGUGCUUGCCUGGAGGCAUACCCACAGCUACAUAAGAUAAGGGGAGUUGCACACACAGGUUUACUGAUAAGAGAAGUUACUCAAACUGCUACAGACAUGAGAGGAGUUUCUUAUAAAAGCUUUCGAAUUCAGAUGUAACCCAGCAAUGCACUCAGACUCCUCUCUGCUGUGGAGAGCUUUUUUUUUUUUUUUUCAUAUUAAACUUUCACUCCAACUUUAUCUUUGUGUUUACAAUUCUUAAUUUUUUUGUCUUGGAUAAAGAACAAAAAACCUGGAGUACUUCUUCAGACAACAAGAAACUUCCAAAUUAAGGUGCAUUGGCAAGAAUGCAACAUAUUUUGAUCCAUUGGCUUGGAAGGAGGGAAUUCAUCAGAAGGGUCUACCCCAUGCUCUUGGAACCUCAAGAAGAGACAAGUUUACCCAACUCACAGUGCUCACUGCUGCAAAGAAGAACAAGCACACAGGCAAAAAGUUUUCCCAGCAAGAAUGCCAGGGUGAAAGGAAAGAUCAAUUGGACCAGAGCACAAGUGCUGCUCCAGUUACUUGGCAGAGUACCUAAUAGUGAUCCACCACAAUACCACCAUAUAUCUGUUUGGGAAUAAACAAGGGCAAGUUGACUGCUUAAGAGUGAUGACAUGCAACUCAGUCUCUUGCAACACCACCUGAGAAAAGGAAGCACUAGCAGGAAGAACAAAUUGAUGGAGAGGAAAAGUGAUGAAUACAGAUAAGAAGCACAGCUGGUGGAGGCUCAUGUGCCAGUUUACUGGGCCUCAGGACAUUCUCCUCUAGAAGGAGGAGACAGCAUGACCCCCACUUUCUUUUAUUUUAUUAUAAUUUAAGUUUUAGGGUACAUGAGCACAAUGUGCAGGUUAGUUACAUAUGUAUA